rnacentral:rRNA from 1 species
UACGGAGGGAGCUAGCGUUAUUCGGAAUUACUGGGCGUAAAGCGCACGUAGGCGGCUUUGUAAGUAAGAGGUGAAAGCCCAGAGCUCAACUCUGGAAUUGCCUUUUAGACUGCAUCGCUUGAAUCAUGGAGAGGUCAGUGGAAUUCCGAGUGUAGAGGUGAAAUUCGUAGAUAUUCGGAAGAACACCAGUAGCGAAGGCGGCUGACUGGACAUGUAUUGACGCUGAGGUGCGAAAGCGUGGGGAGCAAACAGG